UAGAGUUUGAUCAUGGCUCAGGAUGAACGCUGGCGGCGUGCUUAACACAUGCAAGUCGAACGGAGUCAUCAUUUUUGAAGCAAUUAGCUUGCUAAGAGUGGAAAUGUUGAUGACUUAGUGGCGGACGGGUGAGUAACGCGUGGGUAACCUGCCAUAUACAGGGGGAUAACACUUAGAAAUAGGUGCUAAUACCGCAUAAGCGCACAGUAUUGCAUGAGACAGUGUGAAAAACUACGGUGGUAUAUGAUGGACCCGCGUCUGAUUAGCUGGUUGGUGAGGUAACGGCCCACCAAGGCGACGAUCAGUAGCCGGCCUGAGAGGGUGGACGGCCACAUUGGGACUGAGACACGGCCCAAACUCCUACGGGAGGCAGCAGUGGGGAAUAUUGGACAAUGGGGGAAACCCUGAUCCAGCGACGCCGCGUGAGUGAAGAAGUAUUUCGGUAUGUAAAGCUCUAUCAGCAGGGAAGAAAAAAUGACGGUACCUGACUAAGAAGCCCCGGCUAACUACGUGCCAGCAGCCGCGGUAAUACGUAGGGGGCAAGCGUUAUCCGGAUUUACUGGGUGUAAAGGGAGCGUAGACGGCAGGGCAAGCCUGAUGUGAAAGGUCGGGGCCCAACCCCGGGACUGCAUUGGAAACUGUCCGGCUGGAGUACAGGAGAGGUAAGUGGAAUUCCUAGUGUAGCGGUGAAAUGCGUAGAUAUUAGGAGGAACACCAGUGGCGAAGGCGGCUUACUGGACUGUAACUGACGUUGAGGCUCGAAAGCGUGGGGAGCAAACAGGAUUAGAUACCCUGGUAGUCCACGCCGUAAACGAUGAUUACUAGGUGUCGGUGGGCAUGGGCCCAUCGGUGCCGCAGCCAACGCAAUAAGUAAUCCACCUGGGGAGUACGUUCGCAAGA
rnacentral:rRNA from 1 species